CUCGCAGCCUGCCCGCCUUCCCCCUUCCCUGUGUCUAUGGUGUGCGUGCUUUUAUGUGUGUGCGCGCGUGUGUAUGUGUGCAAGAGCGCCUCUCUUUUUCUCCCUGCUCAUUUCUGCACGGCCGGCCACCUUUCCUCUCCCCAGUUGCUGAGCGCCGUUGGCUGUUCAGAGCGGUUUUGGCUCCUUCCCUUAGUAACAGCUUUUACAUUCUGCCUCAAUUCCUCUUCAAUCGAAAUCACACACACGCACACACACAUAAAGCAUUACUCCCCCCCCCCUCUUUCUCCUUUGAUUGCCUCCUCCUCCUUCCUUGGGACUUAAUCUAUAAUUUCCCCCCACCGCUUCUCGCUUCCCAUCCCCCUCCUCCAGCAGCACCAUCUCUCUCUCUCUCUCUCUCUCAACACACACAAACACACACACACACUCACACCCCUCACCCAGACUCGGGUCAUAAUUGAAUACAUUGCAUUUCCAACCUUCCCCUCCCCCCCCAUUUUCCCGGUGGCUACUUGAAGUCUUUCCCCCCCCCCUUCUUUCUCCCCCUUCUUCCCUUCCCCCCCCCCCCGUUUGGGCUGCACCCGCAAUUGCAAACCCAUAUAUUAUACCUCUUAAGAAGAAGGAGGAAGCUGCAUGAAAUAUAGCUCUAUGUGUGUCAGCGUGGGGGGCUUUUUCCUCCUCUUUUGCCUCCAUUGCAAAAGGAGGGGGGGCGGAGAGCCAUACUGAGCCCAUCAAUUGCAAGGUCAGGUAUUUGUUUAGAAGCAUUUAACAGCUGGCUUAAUUACGAAGUGUACUUAUUGUGGUGGAACGGAGAGAAAACCAAAUUCUGGAAAUUGUACCAUCUUCCUGUGAUAGGAGGCUCCUGAGAGGAAACUUCUACCUAUCAAUGCACGACCAAUGGGUUAUAUCCUUCAUCGUGACCUCAUGGUUUAAGCGGGAAUAAAGAUGAGUAUAAGCAGUGAUGAGGUUAACUUCCUCGUAUAUAGAUAUUUGCAAGAGUCCGGGUUUUCUCAUUCAGCAUUUACCUUCGUAUCGAGAGCCAUAUCAGCCAGUCCAACAUCAACGGUGCUCUGGUGCCCCCAGCUGCUUUGAUUUCAAUAAUUCAAAAAGGCCUGCAGUA